UGAUGGGCUCAGAGCACAGGAUGGGGUGGGGUGGGGGGAUGGGCUCAGGGCACCAUGUGCCACCACUUGAAGGAGAAGGGCCGCCGGCGCACGUUGGUGCCGCAGUGCACCUCCCCGUGCCGCAGGUGGUACGCGU